UGGGGAAUAUUGGGCAAUGGGGGAAACCCGUGACCCAGCAACGCCGCGUGAAGGAAGACGGUCCUACGGAUUGUAAACCUCUUUAGCCGGGGAGUAAAGUGCGUGACGGGUCACGCAUUGAGAGUACCCGGAGAAUAAGCAUCGGCUAACUCCGUGCCAGCAGCCGCGGUAAUACGGAGGAUGCGGGCGUUAUCCGGAUUUAUUGGGUUUAAAGGGUGCGCAGGCGGCUCGUCAAGUCAGCGGUGAAAGCCCGGGGCUCAACCCCGGUAAGCCGUUGAAACUGGCAAGCUGGAGUUCGGGCGAGGCAGGCGGAAUGCGCGGUGUAGCGGUGAAAUGCAUAGAUAUUGCGCAGAACUCCGAUUGCGAAGGCAGCUUGCCAGCCCUGGACUGACGCUGAGGCACG
rnacentral:rRNA from 1 species